AUUGAACGCUGGCGGCAGGCCUAACACAUGCAAGUCGAGCGGAUGAAGGGAGCUUGCUCCUGGAUUCAGCGGCGGACGGGUGAGUAAUGCCUAGGAAUCUGCCUGGUAGUGGGGGAUAACGUCCGGAAACGGGCGCUAAUACCGCAUACGUCCUGAGGGAGAAAGUGGGGGAUCUUCGGACCUCACGCUAUCAGAUGAGCCUAGGUCGGAUUAGCUAGUUGGUGGGGUAAAGGCCUACCAAGGCGACGAUCCGUAACUGGUCUGAGAGGAUGAUCAGUCACCCUGGAACUGAGACACGGUCCAGACUACUACGGGAGGCAGCAGUGGGGAAUAUUGGACAAUGGGCGGAAGCCUGAUCCAGCCAUGCCGCGUGUGUGAAGAAGGUCUUCGGAUUGUAAAGCACUUUAAGUUGGGAGGAAGGGCGGUAAGUUAAUACCUUGCUGUUUUGACGUUACCAACAGAAUAAGCACCGGCUAACUUCGUG
rnacentral:rRNA from 1 species